UUGGUUAAGUUAGAAAGGGCGCACGGUGGAUGCCUUGGCACUAGGAGCCGAAGAAGGACGGGACUAACACCGAUAUGCUUUGGGGAGCUGUACGUAAGCGUUGAUCCAGAGAUUUCCGAAUGGGGGAACCCACUAUCUUUAGUCGGAUAGUAUCCUUACGUGAAUACAUAGCGUGAGGAAGGCAGACCCAGGGAACUGAAACAUCUAAGUACCUGGAGGAAGAGAAAGAAAAAUCGAUUUCCUGAGUAGCGGCGAGCGAAACGGAAAGAGCCCAAACCAAGAAGCUUGCUUCUUGGGGUUGUAGGACACUCUAUACGGAGUUACAAAAGAAAGUUAUAAAUGAAGCGGUCUGGAAAGGCCCGCCAAAGACGGUAACAGCCCGGUAGUUGAAAUGGCUUUCCCUCCAGAGUGGAUCCUGAGUACGGCGGAACACGUGAAAUUCCGUCGGAAUCCGGGAGGACCAUCUCCCAAGGCUAAAUACUCCCUAGUGACCGAUAGUGAACCAGUACCGUGAGGGAAAGGUGAAAAGCACCCCGGAAGGGGAGUGAAACAGUUCCUGAAACCGUGUGCCUACAAGUAGUUAGAGCCCGUUAAUGGGUGAUAGCGUGCCUUUUGUAGAAUGAACCGGCGAGUUACGAUUUGUUGCAAGGUUAAGCGGAAAAAGCGGAGCCGUAGCGAAAGCGAGUCUGAAUAGGGCGCAUAAGUAACAGGUCGUAGACCCGAAACCAGGUGAUCUACCCAUGUCCAGGAUGAAGGUAAGGUAAUACUUACUGGAGGUCCGAACCCACGCACGUUGAA
rnacentral:rRNA from 1 species